CCCACCUGACCCCAUGCCGAACUCAGAAGUGAAACGCCGUAGCGCCGAUGGUAGUGUGGGGUCUCCCCAUGCGAGAGUAGGGAACUGCCAGGU
rnacentral:rRNA from 1 species